rnacentral:lncRNA from 1 species
ACGUAAACGUAACGAUUAUCUAACUUAUGAGUUUGACUGUCUCUCUGGUAUAUUUCGCCCCUCUGACAGCAUCACCGUUUGAAAGAAUGGUUACGAAACAAAAUAAAAUGCCUUCUUAUAAGGGAAUACUCUUGGCCUUCAACAGAAAAAAACCCCAAUCGAACAGCAAUAUUCAAACAAACAAAGAGGGAAAACAAAAUCAAAGCUGAUCCACAAAAUCGUUGAAUUCCUUUAGUUUGCGUUUUUGUGAUCUAAGGGGACUUCGAUUUUUCGUGUGUUAUCUGGUACUCUCUGAUAAUUCUAUCAUAUAUAUUUACAGUUACUUCAUAAGAAUAGAAAUAAAUAUUAGUACAAAAAUGAUAC